rnacentral:lncRNA from 1 species
GUCAACACGAGUGUCAGUCAGUGUAUAGUGUGUCAACAUGAGUGUCAGUCAGUCUGUAGUGUGUCAACAUGAGUGUCAGUCAGUCUAUAGUGUGUCAACAUGAGUGUCAGUCAGUCUAUAGUGUGUCAACACGAGUGUCAGUCAGUCUAUAGUGUGUCAACAUGAGUGUCAGUCAGUCUGUAGUGUGUCAACAUGAGUGUCAGUCAGUCUGUAGUGUGUCAACAUGAGUGUCAGUCAGUCUGUAGUGUGUCAACAUGAGUGUCAGUCAGUCUGUAGUGUGUCAACAUGAGUGUCAGUCUAUAGUGUGUCAACAUGAGUGUCAGUCUAUAGUGUGUCAACACAAGUGUCAGUCAGUCUAUAGUGUGUCAACAUGAGUGUCAGUCAGUCUAUAGUGUGUCAACACGAGUGUCAGUCAGUCUAUAGUGUGUCAACAUGAGUGUCAGUCUAUAGUGUGUCAACAUGAGUGUCAGUCAGUCUGUAGUGUGUCAACAUGAUUGUCAGUCAGUCUAUAGUGUGUCAACAUGAGUGUCAGUCAGUCUAUAGUGUGUCAACAUGAGUGUCAGUCAGUCUAUAGUGUGUCAACAUGAGUGUCAGUCUAUGUGUGUCAACAUGAGUGUCAGUCUAUGUGUGUCAACAUGAGUGUCAGUCAGUCUAUAAUGUGUCAACACGAGUGUCAGUCAGUCUAUAGUGUGACAACAUGAGUGUCAGUCAGUCUGUAGUGUGUCAACAUGAGUGUCAGUCAGUCUGUAGUGUGUCAACAUGAGUGUCAGUCAGUCUGUAGUGUGUCAACAUGAGUGUCAGUCAGUCUAUAGUGUGUCAACACAAGUGUCAGUCAGUCUAUAGUGUGUCAACAUGAGUGUCAGUCAGUCUGUAGUGUGUCAGCAUGAGUGUCAGUCAGUCUAUAGUGUGUCAACAUGAGUGUCAGUCAGUCUAUAGUGUGUCAACAUGAGUGUCAGUCAGUCUGUAGUGUGUCAACAUGAGUGUCAGUCAGUCUGUAGUGUGUCAACAUGAGUGUCAGUCAGUCUAUAGUGUGUCAACAUGAGUGUCAGUCAGUCUAUAGUGUGUCAACACGAGUGUCAGUCAGUCUGUAGUGUGUCAACACGAGUGUCAGUCAGUCUGUAGUGUGUCAACACGAGUGUCAGUCAGUCUAUAGUGUGUCAGUCAGUCUAUAGUGUGUCAACACGAGUGUCAGUCAGUCUAUAGUGUGUCAACAUGAGUUGUAGUCAGUCUAUAGUGUGUCAACAUGAGUGUCAGUCAGUCUAUAGUGUGUCAACAUGAGUGUCAGU